AUGGACUCCACAGCGACCGGACCCGAGCUCGCGGCGUCCCACGACGAGGAGGAGGCGGCUCCCCUCGUCUCCGGCGCCGGCGACGGCCGCCGCGGCGCAGGCACAGCGUCGCAGACCCGCGACCUGCACCUCCUCAGCCUGGCCUUCUUCUUCGUCUUCCUCGCCUACCACGCCGCCCAGAACCUCCAGAGCACCGUCAACACGGACGGCAAUUUGGGUUCGAUAUCGCUGGGCUUGCUGUACACGUCGUUCACGGCGUUCUCGGUCGUGGGUUCGCCGGUGGUGCGAGCGAUGGGGUCCAGGCGGGCGCUCGUGCUCGGCACCUCCGGCUACCUCCUCUUCAUCGCCGCCAACCUCGCCCCCUCCUGGUACACAAUGGUACCAGCUUCACUGUACCUGGGUUUUACCGCAUCAAUCAUUUGGGUUGGGCAGGGCACAUAUCUUACUUCUGCUGCCCUCAGUCAUGCAAGAGACAACAAUUUGCCCGACGGUCCAACUUUAGGAAGCUUUAAUGGAGAAUUCUGGGGUGUGUUCGCUAGCACACAGGUCAUUGGGAAUUUGAUCUCACUUGCUCUACUGAGAAAUGGAAAGGAUGGAGGAAGUGUAACAGGAAAAAAUCUGCUGUUUGUUGUGUUCCUUGGAUGCAUGAUUAUCGGCAUUGUAUUGAUGUGUUUACUGUCCAAAAGGGAUGAGAAACGAGAUAAUGCUUCGACACACUCCUCAUUUGGAUCUAUGUUGAAGUAUAUUGUUGCCCCUCUCAAGGACCGUAGGAUGAUUCUUCUGAUCCCUCUUAUCGCAUAUUCAGGUUUACAGCAGGCAUUUGUAUGGGCUGUAUUCACAAAGAGUAUUGUGACACCUGUGCUUGGCAUAUCUGGAGUUGGUGGCGCCAUGGCAAUUUAUGGCGCAUCUGAUGUAGUUUGUUCAUUGGUUGCUGGACGUUUUACCUCUGGGCUUCAUUCAGCUACAUUUAUAGUGUCAGUUGGAGCUAUCGUUCAGGCUGUGGUCCUGUUCUGGUUGCUUCUUUUUUACAGUCCAAUGGAGGGGCUACUUGGUGCAGCGAUUCCACUAUUUAUAGGUGCCUUAUGGGGUGUUGGUGACGGAGUCUUGAACACACAGUUAAGCGCAUUACUUGGAUUGCUGUUCGAGGAUGUCAAGGAAGCAGCUUUUGCACAGUUGAAGGUUUGGCAAUCAGGUGCCAUCGCAGUCAUCUUCUUCUUGAGCCCAAGCAUCACACUACAAGCAAUGCUUAUCUUGAUGGCCACAUCACUCGUCAUCUCCUUUGGCUUGUUCCUGUUACUUACCCUUGUUGUCGAGAAGCCAUCAAGCAUCAGAGCAUGA
rnacentral:rRNA from 1 species